UUUCUAAAAUAUAUAGACUAGUUAAAAAGUAAAUCUAAAAAUUAUUUAUCUAUAUUUAAUUUUGUUAUUAAAUUAGGUCACACCUUUAUGUGCUACGGAACGCUUCUAACGUGUCAAAUGUCAAUGUCGCGUGGACAUUGACAAUCGCGAAGUCCACAGACUUUGGCAAUGACGUUUGAAAAUGAACGAGCACUUUUUGAACGGUCUUGGAAAGAGCUACCGUGUUCUAAGAAAUAAUAAUCUUUACCUAUUUUAUUCUUGUUUUCACAAUUCCGAAUUUUUCAUAAUUCCGAAUUUAAUUGUGUUCUUUAGAAGUUCCCAUACUGGGAACUUCCUUGAGACUUGGAUCGACGUGGGGAUCCCCUUUGGAAUC
rnacentral:lncRNA from 1 species